rnacentral:rRNA from 1 species
GAUGAACGCUGGCGGCGUGCCUAAUACAUGCAAGUCGAGCGAAUGGAUUAAGAGCUUGCUCUUAUGAAGUUAGCGGCGGACGGGUGAGUAACACGUGGGUAACCUGCCCAUAAGACUGGGAUAACUCCGGGAAACCGGGGCUAAUACCGGAUAACAUUUUGAACCGCAUGGUUCGAAAUUGAAAGGCGGCUUCGGCUGUCACUUAUGGAUGGACCCG